UUAAUUCCCAAAUUCAAACCCUGUCUCUUUCUAUCGCCUUCUCUCUAAUUCCGUCUCUCUCUAUCACAUUCUCUACCGUCACCCAACCACCUACUUUUCCAGCGCCACGAAGCAUCACCGACCACAACAGUGAAGGAAGCAACACCUUCUCUCUCUUGCGACGCUUUGCUUCUGCAAGCAGCGACGAGUGUUGCCAGCAGCGGUGCGCUUGCUGCUGCUUGUAGAAGCAACGGUAAAGACUGGUGAUCCUUUUCCGGCGCCACGAACCAUCACUGACCACAGCGAAUAAGUAAGCAACACGCCGGCCACGGAUUCUCUUGCGACAAUCUACUUCUACUGGAAGUACUCGUUGUGAAAAAUGAGGCGAAGGUGAUUAAGUGGUGGCGGUGGCGACAGUGGUCAUUUUCGGCCACCGGUGUGUAGUUCUCUCUUUUCAAAUUUGGUUUUCUAUUUCUUUCUUCAUACAUUUUUUUUUCUUUGCCUCUGUGUGCUGAUGAUGAUGGUGGAGGUGGUAUAGGUGUUAACUUGCUGGUGUUGUUGGUUUUUGUCGUUGGUGGUUGUGUUGGUGUGGUGUAGGUGGUAGUGGUUGGUUUUGUUGGCGAUAGUGGUGGUUUUUUUGUUAUAUUACAGGCGGUGGAUGCGGUUUUUUUUUUUCGAUGGUUUGGUGCAUGCAGUGUGUGCUUGUGGUCAUUCUUUGUUGUUGGUGAUUGUGGUUGUGUGGUCGUCAUUUUUUUGUUAAUAAUAUUGUUGGUGGUUGUAGUGAUGUGGUGCAAGCGGUGGUAUGUAGUGGUCGUAUUAUUUUGUUGUUGCUGUGACCACCGGUGACCAAACUUGUGUUAACUAUGAUUUUAUGUGACUUGGUUAUAGAGCAUAAUUUGUUGCAGAUUAUAAUUUGUCGUUAAGGUUAUAGUCACUGUCAUUUUGUGUAGGUCGCAAAUCAAUAUAAACGGGUCACAUGUUAAUAUUAACAGGUAACAUGUCACGUUUUGUAGAAU
rnacentral:lncRNA from 1 species